rnacentral:rRNA from 1 species
CUUACCAUGCAGUCGACGAAGCAAUGAAGCGGAAGUUUUCGGAUGGAAGCUUGAUUGACUUAGUGGCGGACGGGUGAGUAACGCGUGGGUAACCUGCCUUAUACAGGGGGAUAACAGUUGGAAACGGCUGCUAACACCGCAUAAGCGCACAGUAUCGCAUGAUACGGUGUGAAAAAAUUCAUUGGUAUAAGAUGGACCCGCGUCUGAUUAGCUUGUUGGUGAGGUAAAGGCCCACCAAGGCGACGAUCAGUAGCCGGCUUGAGAGAGUGACCGGCCACAUUGGGACUGAGACACGGCCCAAACUCCUACGGGAGGCAGCAGUGGGGAAUAUUGCACAAUGGGGGAAACCCUGAUGCAGCGACGCCGCGUGAGUGAAGAAGUAUUUCGGUAUGUAAAGCUCUAUCAGCAGGGACGAUAAUGACGGUACCUGACUAAGAAGCCCCGGCUAACUACGUGCCAGCAGCCGCGGUAAUACGUAGGGGGCAAGCGUUAUCCGGAUUUACUGGGUGUAAAGGGAGCGUAGACGGUGUGGUAAGUCAGGUGUGAAAGCCCGGGGCUCAACCCCGGGAUUGCACUUGAAACUAUCAUGCUAGAGUGCAGGAGAGGUAAGUGGAAUUCCUAGUGUAGCGGUGAAAUGCGUAGAUAUUAGGAGGAACACCAGUGGCGAAGGCGGCUUACUGGACUGUAACUGACGUUGAGGCUCGAAAGCGUGGGGAGCAAACAGGAUUAGAUACCC